GGGGGGGGCGCGGCGGGGCCCCAGCCCUGAGCCGCCUGUGCCCGUGCCAGGUCGGGGAGAAGACGCCCGAGUCCCAGCGGCAGGCGUGCGCGGGGCACCUGCCGGCCAUCAGAGCCUUCUUCAGGGAGGCCAGCGUGGUGCUGAGCGCCCGGCGCGCCGAGGAGGUGACCCAGGAGGGGCUGAGCCGCGCUCUGGCCCAGCUGGCCCCCGCCGCGGCCCCCCCGGCCAGGAGGGCCCCCCCGGCCGACACCGAGGAGCUGGUGGGCACCAACUACCGCAAGACGAACCCGGCGCUGGAGAUCCGCCGGACGCAGCGGGACUCCUUCUGGGCGCAGGCCGAGCGCGAAGAGGAGCAGCGCAAGGAGGAGGAGCGGCGGCGGCCGAGCGCGAGCAGCGCUUCAGGGAGAAGGAGCGGCUGAUCGAGGAGCACCGGAAGGAGCAGGCGCGGCUGGAGGCGGAGGAGCGGAGGAAGGAGAAAGCCCGCUGGGUGAGCGGGGACGGGGACGGGGCACGGGGGG
rnacentral:lncRNA from 1 species